CCCCCGUUAGCUCAGCAGGUCAGAGCAUCCGGCUCAUAACCGGGAAGUCCUGGGUUCGAUUCCCCGACGGGGGACCA
rnacentral:tRNA from 1 species